rnacentral:rRNA from 1 species
GCGAACGCUGGCGGCGUGCUUAACCCCUGCAAGUCGAACGGAAAGGCCCUGCUUUUGUGGGGUGCUCGAGUGGCGAACGGGUGAGUAACACGUGAGUAACCUGCCCUUGACUUUGGGAUAACUUCAGGAAACUGGGGCUAAUACCGGAUAGGAGCUCCUGCUGCAUGGUGGGGGUUGGAAAGUUUCGGCGGUUGGGGAUGGACUCGCGGCUUAUCAGCUUGUUGGUGGGGUAGUGGCUUACCAAGGCUUUGACGGGUAGCCGGCCUGAGAGGGUGACCGGCCACAUUGGGACUGAGAUACGGCCCAGACUCCUACGGGAGGCAGCAGUGGGGAAUAUUGCACAAUGGGCGGAAGCCUGAUGCAGCAACGCCGCGUGCGGGAUGACGGCCUUCGGGUUGUAAACCGCUUUCGCCUGUGACGAAGCGUGAGUGACGGUAAUGGGUAAAGAAGCACCGGCUAACUACGUG